rnacentral:misc_RNA from 1 species
UCCGGUUUGUCACCGGCAGUCUCCUUAGAGUGCCCACCAUAACGUGCUGGUAACUAAGGACAAGGGUUGCGCUCGUUACGGGACUUAACCCAACAUCUCACGACACGAGCUGACGACAGCCAUGCAGCACCUGUCUCAAUGUUCCCGAAGGCACCAAUCCAUCUCUGGAAAGUUCAUUGGAUGUCAAGGCCUGGUAAGGUUCUUCGCGUUGCUUCGAAUUAAACCACAUGCUCCACCACUUGUGUGAGCCCCCGCCAAUUCCUUUGAGUUUUAGCCUUGCGGCCGUACUCCCCAGGCGGGGCACUUAAUGCGAUGAUACGCGAGGAACCUUACCUG